AUGGGUAUAAACGGAGGUCGGAGCCAGCUGCAAAUGGGAGGGUUAGCAGCAAGUGGGUGGAGCUUUACCCGCAAGUGGGCUGUACAAACUUCCAGAGGAUUUUGAUUGGUUUAUUUAUAUCACCUGUAGCAGCUAUUGGUUUAUGCUCCACAGUUGGUGGUGCUAAUGUGUAAGUUUUGUUGCGAUCGAUCAGAAAACAAAGAAGAAACCCGCUUUCACAUGUUAGCGUGUUGUUGAAAUGAAGGUGUAAGCUUGCUUUACAGUUUUUAGUUUUGUAAAAAAGCAUUAUAAGUUCUGAAGAAGACCAUUUUAUAAUGGCGUUUGUACGCUGUUUUUAGUCUUGAUGUAUUAAAAAAGAUAAGGGUAAAGUGUAUCCAGAUACAUUUCUGUAGUUUUUUAUUAGCACACAAAUUACAAAAUCUGUAACGUGGAUGACAAAAUCUUUUCUGCAUUCCAUUUCUACAAUUUGCUCUCCAGAUUAUGGAUUCUGAAGACCAUAAUAAUAAGGACAAUGCAGGACAAAGGCUGUCAAAUAACUGGAGUGUUUGUCUUGAUGGCAAUAUGCACUGUAUGUUAUUCUGGGACAGAAGUUUGACUUCACUGAACUAAACAUGAAGAACAUAGAAAAUGGUGGUGUGCCAUCUUGCUUGAAAAUUAAACAUGGGAGAAAGAGAAAAUGAGCUGUUGUUGCUGAAGAAGAAGAAGAAUGCUCUGCACUCCCUGAAACCUAGGGGAAGAAAAAAACUGAACUUGCAUAUGAAAGUAAGAACUUUGCUAUAAAACAAAAUACAUAUACUUUGCUGGGUUUCAAAUUAUGUAACUAUAAUUCAUUUCAGCAGACCAAACCCCAGUUGUGCCCUCUGUUUUGCAUAAUCAAUUGCAAUGAUGAUUUAAAAUGUGUAUCAUAGAACAAUUUUAAUCCACUUAUAUUUUUCUUUAAGGAUAAACUGUUAAAAGAUGAUGACCGUCCAUCAUGCUUCAUCUUCAAGGUAGUGGAAUGUUAUAUAAUGUGCUUUUUAAAAAAAAUUUAACGGCCUGUGCUAACUUUUCAGUUAUCAGGAGCGUUGCUGAAGAACAUACUGCUUGAAGUUGUUCUUCAAGAAGAAGAUGCUGCCUACAUGACCCUGUCAUUGGCUUGCUCAAGGUUCAGGGACAUAGUUGGUGAUGACAAAUUUAAGAAGCAGGCACACUUCUUAUGGCUAGAAAGUAAAUAUUGACAUUAAAAAAUUAAAUGCAUAACAACAACAUCAUUAAUAAUGUUAAAUGCUAUGUUAAUUGUUUUUCACCUCAGGUGUAACAUGCUGGAAAAAUAAAUCGUCUCGCUACAAACAGCUGUUCUGGAAGAUGUACUCAUUCUCCACGUGUUUGCUGCACACCUGGUUAUGCUGGGAAGGGAAAGCGAGAUGAACUCCAGGGCAUUUAUUCAAAAACCUUCCAUCCUGGAUUUUGCAGAUUUGACUGCAUGCAGAUCAGUUCUAGUGAGCUGAUAUAGUUUCCUUACAAAGACUAAAAAUAAUAAAAUAAAACAAACACUUUUGCAAACAA